AGUGGCGAACGGGUGAGUAAUACAUCGGAACGUACCUUAUCGUGGGGGAUAACGAAGCGAAAGCUGUGCUAAUACCGCAUACGCCCUGAGGGGGAAAGCGGGGGAUCGAAAGACCUCGCGCGAUUAGAGCGGCCGAUGCCUGAUUAGCUUGUUGGUGGGGUAAAAGCCCACCAAGGCGACGAUCAGUAGCUGGUCUGAGAGGACGAUCAGCCACACUGGGACUGAGACACGGCCCAGACUCCUACGGGAGGCAGCAGUGGGGAAUUUUGGACAAUGGGGGAAACCCUGAUCCAGCAAUGCCGCGUGAGUGAAGAAGGCCUUCGGGUUGUAAAGCUCUUUUGUCAGGGAAGAAACACCGGCUCUAACACAGUCCGGGAAUGACGGUACCUGAAGAAUAAGCACCGGCUAACUACGUGCCAGCAGCCGCGGUAAUACGUAGGGUGCGAGCGUUAAUCGGAAUUACUGGGCGUAAAGCGUGCGCAGGCGGUUAUACAAGACAGGCGUGAAAUCCCCGGGCUUAACCUGGGAAUGGCGCCGUGACUGUAUAGCUAGAGUGUGUCAGAGGGGGGUAGAAUUCCACGUGUAGCAGUGAAAUGCGUAGAUAUGUGGAGGAAUACCAAUGGCGAAGGCAGCCCCCUGGGAUAACACUGACGCUCAUGCACGAAAGCGUGGGGAGCAAACAGGAUUAGAUACCCAGGUA
rnacentral:rRNA from 1 species